GGGAUUGUGGCUCAGUGGUAGAGCACUCGCCUAGCAUGUGUGAGUCACUGAGUUCAAUUCUCAGCACCA
rnacentral:tRNA from 1 species